GACGAACGCUGGCGGCGUGCUUAACACAUGCAAGUCGAACGGAAAGACCCUGCUUUUGUGGGUUUCUCGAGUGGGGAGCGGGUGAGUAAAACGUGAGUAACAUGCCCUUGACUUUGUGAUAACUUUAGGAAACUGGGGCUCAUACCGGAUAGGAGCUCCUGCUGCAUGUGGGUCGAUGGUAAGUUUCGGCGGUGGGGGAUGGACUCGCGGCUUAUGAGCUUCUUGGUGGGGUAGUGGCGUACCACGGCUUUGACGGGUAGGCGGCAUGGGAGGGUGACCGGCGACCUGGGUACUGAGAUACGGCGCAGACUCCUACGGGAGGCAGCAGUGGGGAAUAUUGCACAAUGGGCGGAAGCGUGAGGCAGCAACGCCGCGUGCGGGAUGACGGCCUACUGGUUGUAAACCGCUUUCGCAUGUGACGAAGCGUGAGUGACGGUAAUGGGUAAAGAAGCACCGGCUAACUACGUG
rnacentral:rRNA from 1 species